CGGCAACUACAACAAUCGUGACAUUGGAAUGGAGAAUAGUGAUGAGUUGUCUGAAGUCAGUUACUCCAGAAACACCUCCCUCUGUAACUCUGCUCCUGGAAACAUGGCCACGAAUCUCUGAGACUGAAAUGAGAAAAUUACUUUUCGAAAACAACAGAUUGCCGGAAGAUUGCUGAAUGCUUUGAAAGCAAGAAACCUGACACUGAUAAUAUGAUUUACACAGCUGCUG